UACGGGGGGGGCAAGCGUUGUUCGGAAUUACUGGGCGUAAAGGGUUCGUAGGUGGCUCGCUAAGUCAGACGUGAAAUCCCUCAGCUUAACUGGGGAACUGCGUCUGAGACUGGCAAGCUCGAGUGCAGGAGAGGAACGCGGAAUUCCAGGUGUAGCGGUGAAAUGCGUAGAUAUCUGGAGGAACACCGGUGGCGAAGGCGGCGUUCUGGACUGCAACUGACGCUGAGGAACGAAAGCCAGGGGAGCAAACGGG
rnacentral:rRNA from 1 species